AUGGUAUCACAAGAAGGAUCUGAAGUGGAGCUUCUAGUAUCCCCAGGAGCAUGAAGUGAACACGGAAGGUACCUGCAGGAUCCAGUUGUGUCCAUUGAUCUCUCAGAGUGGCUGAGGAUAAUAGAGUUUCUUCUUCAAGGUCUCAAGGUGUAUGGCUCUGUGUAUCACAUCAAUCACGGGAACCCCUUCAACAUGGAGGUGCUGGUGGACUCCUGGCCUGAAUAUCAGAUGGUUAUUAUCCGGCCUCAAAAGCAGGAGAUGACUGAUGACAUGGAUUCAUACACAAACGUAUAUCAUAUAUUCUCCAAAGAACCUCAAAAAUCAGAAGAAGUUUUGAAAAAUUGUGAGAUCAUAAACUGGAAACAGAGACUCCAAAUCCAAGGUUUUCAAGAAAGUUUAGCUGAGGGGAUAAGAGCGGCUACAUUUUCAAAGUCAGUGAAAGUAGAGCAUUCGAGAGCACUCCUCUUGGUUACAGAAGAUAUUCUGAAGCUCAAUGCCUCCAAUAAAAGCAAGCUUGGAAGCUGGG
rnacentral:sRNA from 1 species